rnacentral:rRNA from 1 species
CCACGCCGUAAACGGUGGGUACUAGGUGUGGGGAAUAUUUCACGUUCUCCGUGCCGUAGCUAACGCAUUAAGUACCCCGCCUGGGGAGUACGGCCGCAAGGCUAAAACUCAAAGGAAUUGACGGGGCCCCGCACAAGCGGCGGAGCAUGCGGAUUAAUUCGAUGCAACGCGAAGAACCUUACCUGGGUUUGACAUAUACCGGUAACCUUCAGAGAUGGAGGCCCCUUUUUGGUCGGUAUACAGGUGGUGCAUGGCUGU